rnacentral:lncRNA from 1 species
GUGAUGCAUAAAUACGGCCUAAUUGGUUACAGCUUGGUGUUUUGCCUUAUUUUAAUCAUCUGGCCACCUGUGAUUUAUUGGGGCUCAGCUGCUGUGAUUGACUAAGACUCAAGCACUUGUUUCAAUAGUUGAGGACUCCUAAGUGAGGCUUUUCCUGUUAGACUACGUAUUAAGCAAGGUCAGAGUUUGCCAGAAUUUCCUUGAACAACCUCCAGAUGUGGGCAGAAAGAGGAGAAUUGUUUGCAGCCACCAAUAGGCAGUGGGAUAUCCCGGACAUUUAGCUCAAGGAUACCAUGUGUAAUAAAUGUUCUU